AAUGACUUAAUCAAUUGAAAAGCAAAAUACCACUAACAUAUAAUUAACCUUGACUAACAUUUAACUAAUUCUUAUUAAUAUUGCUUUACUUUCAAGUCAUUUAUUUUAUGCAAUUUAAUUCUAAGUCAUUUACCAUUCAUUUGUCAUUUACAUAUCAUUCAACUUAUUUAUGUCUAUGCCAUUUUUACUUUGCUCAUUUGAGCCAUAUAUUGUGAUUGUAUAUAUUUGUUUGUGUACUUUGUUUGUGUUUGUGG
rnacentral:lncRNA from 1 species